AUUGAACGCUGGCGGCAGGCCUAACACAUGCAAGUCGAGCGCGAAAGUUCUUCGGAAUGGGUAAAGCGGCGGACGGGUGAGUAAUACAUGGGAAUCUGCCUGGUAGUGGGGGACAACGUUUCGAAAGGAACGCUAAUACCGCAUACGCCCUACGGGGGAAAGGGGGGGAUCUCCGGACCUCUCGCUAUCAGAUGAGCCCA
rnacentral:rRNA from 1 species